rnacentral:tRNA from 1 species
CUCCAGGGAUGGAGAAUCGAAACCACAGUGUUCAGCUUACCGGGCAGAUGCCAUGUCCACUAGGCUACCCUGGA